rnacentral:rRNA from 1 species
UACGUAGGGUGCAGGCGUUAAUCGGAAUUACUGGGCGUAAAGCGUGCGUAGGCGGUUUGUUAAGUCGGAUGUGAAAGCCCCGGGCUCAACCUGGGAAUGGCACUCGAUACUGGCAAGCUGGAGUACGGUAGAGGAUGGUGGAAUUCCCGGUGUAGCGGAUGAAAUGCGUAGAUAUCGAGAGGAACACCUGCGGCGAAGGCGGGUUGCUGGGCCGACACGUGACGCUGAUGCGCGAAAGCCAGGGGAGCGAAGCGGG